CUCCAGGUCAUGAGUCCAAUACAUUCCUCAACACUGCCUCUCCAGGCAGCACCAUUUCUACAUAUCUCCAUCUGUUUUGAAAAUACAACUGGAUUUUAAGUGUAUAUGCAGUGCCAAUGAAGAGGAAGGAAAAUCACCUUGAUAGGACAUAGAAAAUGAAGGCCCUGCUCACUCAGGCUCACAACAGCUUUAAAACUCACUAGACAUUUCUGUCAGCAUUUUGGAGGUCUCACAUGAAGGGUACAGUCUAAGAAGAGGCUGCCCUUGACACUGAAGUUGCACGCGAAACAUAAUUGCAAGUCUCCGGUGGGGCUUUUUGCUUUUUUUUAUAAUAUUUAAAGUCAACUUUUACCAGUGAUAGGCAACAUGAAAGAGAGGGAGAGUAAGCUGGUAAACAGUUCACUCUGAGAAAAGCACAAACAUUUUGGUAACUAUGAUGCUUUACA